rnacentral:rRNA from 1 species
GACGAACGCUGGCGGCGUGCCUAAUACAUGCAAGUUGAGCGCUGAAGGUUGGUACUUGUACCAACUGGAUGAGCAGCGAACGGGUGAGUAACGCGUGGGGAAUCUGCCUUUGAGCGGGGGACAACAUUUGGAAACGAAUGCUAAUACCGCAUAAAAACUUUAAACACAAGUUUUAAGUUUGAAAGAUGCAAUUACAUCACUCAAAGAUGAUCCCGCGUUGUAUUAGCUAGUUGGUGAGGUAAAGGCUCACCAAGGCGAUGAUACAUAGCCGACCUGAGAGGGUGAUCGGCCACAUUGGGACUGAGACACGGCCCAAACUCCUACGGGAGGCAGCAGUAGGGAAUCUUCGGCAAUGGACGAAAGUCUGACCGAGCAACGCCGCGUGAGUGAAGAAGGGUUUCGGAUCGUAAAACUCGGUUGGUAGAGAAGAACGUUGGUGAGAGUGGAAAGCUCAUCAAGUGACGGUAACUACCCAGAAAGGGACGGCUAACUACGUG